UUCAGUGGCAAACGAAACACGGUCGAAGUAAGAAGAGGCUAACUGCAGUCUAGUUCAAAGGCUUUGUUUUGGCCAUUCUGAUGAGUUCUACGGUUGUCACUUCAUCUGGAAGAUUUUAGGCUAUUGUUCUCUUCCAUGAGAGCGAAUCGUGCUGGCUGCAGUUGCUACGCCUGUCAUGGCAUGGCCUAUUGUGUAUUUCACGAGACAGACGACGGUACCGUCGGGAACAUGCUAUGGCAUUGGCUGAUUUUUUAAAAAUCUUUACAACGUUAACAUGUCUAUUUGUUCGCAUUAUAAAGAAACAAACCACUUUUGUUUUCUCAUUGUAUCUUAAUUUUUUUUUUCUCGUGGCUCAUUUAAAACCAAGAGUUACAACCUCAUGCGCUAGUGUUUGUAUGUCUCUGUUUAUAUAUUUCGCAUGCUUGUGUUGUAUGAGGACCAUUCCCAAAAUUGAUGUUCAAAACAUAUAAUACUUCAAACAUAAUAGGCAAAUUUCUGUUUCACUAAUAAGGGGUCGACUGAGACCAUUUAUAACACUACUUUGAUGAAAGUAGUGUGUAAAGAAGUAUCAAGGAAAACUUCACUACAGGGAAGCGAAUCAUUUUGAAGACAAAUGCACUUGCUCUGUCUUCAACUAUCUCCUGCGGGACUGAUGGACCGCUAAAGUGUUGAAAGGCUUCUAUCGUGAAUGCUUUGUUGACCUGUAAAUCCUAAUUUACUUCAGCCGAAUUUCCACUGUUCCCCAGACUACCAGUGGAGGGGACCCCCUAAAAUUAAGCCUGGUAUGUGAUAAAACGAAGUUAGAGUUUACUUAUAUAAAUAAAUAAAUUAUAUUAAUCAUA